AAUGCGGGAAACCGUGACGCAGCGACGCCGCGUGGGGGAAGAAGGCCUUCGGGUUGUAAACCUCUUUCAGGAGGGACGAAGCUACUCGGGUUAAUAGCCCAGAGGGUGACGGUACCUCCAGAAGAAGCCCCGGCUAACUACGUGCCAGCAGCCGCGGUAAUACGUAGGGGGCAAGCGUUGUCCGGAUUUAUUGGGCGUAAAGAGCGUGUAGGCGGCUUGGUAGGUCCGCUGUGAAAACUCGAGGCUCAACCUCGAGAUGUCGGCGGAAACCACUUGGCUAGAGUCCGGAAGAGGAGAGUGGAAUUCCCGGUGUAGCGGUGAAAUGCGCAGAUAUCGGGAAGAACACCUAUGGCGAAGGCAGCUCUCUGGGACGGUACUGACGCUGAGACGCGAAAGCGUGGGGAGCGAACAGGAUUAGAUACCCUGGUAGUCCACGCCGUAAACGAUGGGUGCUAGGUGUGGGCGGUGUCGACUCCGUCCGUGCCGAAGCUAACGCAUUAAGCACCCCGCCUGGGGAGUAC
rnacentral:rRNA from 1 species